UUUGAUUAUCACCUCUCUAACUGCCUCAGCCAGAAUCCUGCUGUCUGACACCUGGGAAGCCAACACCCUCGUCCCUGCUCUGGCAUCCGCAGACUACACUUCCGGGCGUCAGGACUUCCUGCUGUGUGCGGGCAGAUAAGCAGUGUGACUGCCCCGCAGAGCUCCGGCCUCUGAGGCCUGGCCUGGCUGCCCCUGGACUCUGUGUUCUUCUGGGCCCGUGUCUCCCCUCCAGGCAUUUCAGCUUUCCUCGGCCCAGGAGCCCAGGGCCUGGUGUUCCGGGGGUGGGGCCAGGGGCACAGGAUGUCCCAUCAUGCCCCGGUCAGCUCACCCACUUUCCCGUGUCCCGCUGGAUGUCCGUCUGCAACGAUCUGCUUUAACACACACACUACAUUGUUCACAAUUUCAAACGUCGCCCCAGCAGCAGCCGUCCCAUUCGCCGUCCGCAUCUGCAGCAGCUGGCGCCCAGGUGGUUCCAUGCACAGAGCACCCCACGGCCUCUCUGCUGUUCUGGAAGUCGCGCCCGGACACCCCCGGCUCUGUCACUAACCAGCAAGCCUUGUGGAAUGAGUCACGGGACUCCGAAAACAGUGGGGGGGAGUUAACACCAGCCCCUUGCUCUGUCCUGCACAGACAAGAAAGAUCUCUCUUCACAUCACUUUAAAAGGGAGAUGAAGAUGUUCCGCUCAAGUCUGUACACUGGCCGGCCAGCGUUGCCACUGCACAUGCGCACAGAUGCGAACACGAAAGCAAUCGGGUUCUGCGUUUAACAAGUACGACAAAAGGACGGCGCAUCGUUCUACUGCGCUGGGUGUCUCGUUUGUCUCUGCGAUGAGAGGAACUGGUACAUGGCGAAAAUCGGCUCAGCUGUUGGUGCACAGAAGUCACGUAGUCCCCACUGUGCUGAAAUUCUUUCUCCGGCUUUGGGGAAAUAAUUAGAUGUUAAUUUAAACAGACACAGAGGAUGUUUCUGAGACGAAGAUAAUGCCUGAUUCUCGUUUGUGUCUUGCCUGGGGCAGACCCGCCCAGAACUCCAGCUUUUGUUCGGACUCUGCAGCUCCGGGGCAGAUGUCCCCAUCCCUCUUCCGCCACCCAGGAGGUGGCCACCGAGCCUGGGAUGCGAAGCUGGCAGUACCGGGGCCUGGAGAGCGAGCCCGUCUCAGGCUGCGCUACCGUCUCUGGCCAGCAGGUGGAGAUAAAGCAUGAAACAUACAAUGAACCCCCAGUCUCUGUCUGAUGAUCUAACAGCAUUUCCCAAAGCAGAUGAAAAUGUGUGGAGAGAGCAAAGGGAAAGGUUGAUUUUAAGGAAGAAACUUCAGAAAGCAUUUUGGAAACGGUAACACUUCUUCCGACAAAUGAUUGAAUGGAAUGGAGCGUAGCUGGAAUUCACACAGCAAAGAUGGUUGGUCAAAAAGUGCUCUCUUUUGUAUAGGAACAAAUGUGGGGGAGGUAUUUGAAAGGUUUCAGAAAAUAAAUCUUUUUGCUAACUCUGUGUGCCUCUUCACAAAGAAAAGACCAAAGGAAGGAAAUACAGGCCAUUUCUCUGAGCUGUUUAUAGAAGUCAGAGUCUGUUGUGACAAGCGCAAUUUGAGAAAUGUCUACUGAAAAGCCUUGGGGGAAGGAAGGGGUUGAGGAAGAGAUUACAGAAGGGGUAGUGGAAGUAUUUGUUAUCUUGAUGGUGAUAAUGAUUUCACAAGUACACUGCAUGUGUCAAAACCCAUCAAACUGUAAACUGGGAUCCUUGCAGUUGUUUCGGAUACCAGUUGCAUCUCAAUGAAGCUAUCAAAUAAGUUUUCUAGACUCUUGCUAUUAAAAAUGUGGUCUAUAAAUGUCUGCCGCAGCCCAGAUUGCUUAUCAGAAAC